rnacentral:rRNA from 1 species
UACGUAGGGUCCGAGCGUUGUCCGGAGUUACUGGGCGUAAAGGGCGCGCAGGCGGCGGUGCUGGCCCGGCGUGAAAGCCCCCGGCUCACCCGGGGAGGGUCGUCGGGGACCGCACCGCUUGAGGGCGGUAGGGGCCGGUGGAAUGCCUGGUGUAGUGGUGAAAUGCGUAGAGAUCCGGAGGAACACCAGUGGCGAAGGCGACACGCUGGGCCGUACCUGACGCUAAAGCGCGACAGCAUGGGGAGCGAACGGG